UGGGAUAUGGCCAAGUGGUAAGGCAUCGGUUUUUGGUACCGUGUAUUCGCUGGUUCGAAUCCAGCUAUCCCAGCUA
rnacentral:tRNA from 6 species